GUCCCGCGGCCUCGGCGCCAGCCGGCAUGGCCUGGGAGAGCGGGCCUCGGCGGCGGGGUGCUGGAGAGUCGCUUCCAAUCUUCCGCAGACACCGGGUUGCUCCGGAGGCCAAAACAGUCGGAGAAGCCUAGGGGCCAGAAUGCUCAGCCCCACCCCGCCCGGUCCCCGCUGAAGGGCAGCGAAGGGCAGCGGGUGUUCGGCCCCCAGUUCUGGGCUCAGCCUCUGGCCCGACUGUAA
rnacentral:lncRNA from 1 species